rnacentral:rRNA from 1 species
AUUCCUCCUUCCUUAUGAACCGUAAUGCCAUUAAUUUGGUGUUGCGAGGAAUUUGGACUGUACUUUGAAAAAUUAGAGUGUUUAAAGCAAGCUAACGCUUGAAUACAUUAGCAUGGAAUAAUGAAAUAGGACGUUCGAUCUUAUUUUGUUGGCUUCUAGGAUUGACGUAAUGAUUAAUAGGGAUAGUUGGGGGCAUUAGUAUUCAAUUGUCAGAGGUGAAAUUCUUUGGACUUUAUUGAAGACUAACUACUGCGAAAGCAUUUGCCAAGGAUGUUUUCAUUAAUCAAGAACGAAAGUUAGGGGAUCGAAGACGAUCAGAUACCGUCGUAGUCUUAACCAUAAACUAUGCCGACUAGGGAUCGGAUGAUGUUAAUUUUUUAAUGACUCAUUCGGCGCCUUACG